GACGAACGCUGGCGGCGUGCUUAACACAUGCAAGUCGAGCGAUGAAGCCUAGCUUGCUAGGUGGAUUAGUGGCGAACGGGUGAGUAAUACGUGAGUAACCUACCUUUAACUCUGGGAUAAGCCUGGGAAACUGGGUCUAAUACCGGAUACGACCAAUCUCCGCAUGGGGUGUUGGUGGAAAGCGUUAUGUAGUGGUUAUAGAUGGGCUCACGGCCUAUCAGCUUGUUGGUGAGGUAACGGCUCACCAAGGCGACGACGGGUAGCCGGCCUGAGAGGGUGACCGGCCACACUGGGACUGAGACACGGCCCAGACUCCUACGGGAGGCAGCAGUGGGGAAUAUUGCACAAUGGGCGCAAGCCUGAUGCAGCGACGCCGCGUGAGGGAUGACGGCCUUCGGGUUGUAAACCUCUGUUAGCAGGGAAGAAGAGAAAUUGACGGUACCUGCAGAGAAAGCGCCGGCUAACUACGUG
rnacentral:rRNA from 1 species